rnacentral:rRNA from 1 species
UACGGGGGGGGGCAAGCGUUGUUCGGAAUUACUGGGCGUAAAGGGCUCGUAGGUGGCCAACUAAGUCAGACGUGAAAUCCCUCAGCUUAACUGGGGAACUGCGUCUGAUACUGGAUGGCUUGAGUUUGGGAGAGGGAUGCGGAAUUCCACGUGUAGCAGUGAAAUGCGUAGAGAUGUGGAGGAACACCGAUGGCGAAGGCAGCCCCCUGGGCUAACACUGACGCUCAUGCACGAAAGCGUGGGGAGCAAACAGG